AUUGAACGCUGGCGGCAGGCCUAACACAUGCAAGUCGAGCGGAUGACGGGAGCUUGCUCCUUGAUUCAGCGGCGGACGGGUGAGUAAUACCUAGGAAUCUGCCUGGUAGUGGGGGACAACGUUUCGAAAGGAACGCUAAUACCGUAUACGUCCUACGGGAGAAAGCAGGGGACCUUCGGGCCUUGCGCUAUCAGAUGAGCCUAGGUCGGAUUAGCUAGUUGGUGAGGUAAUGGCUCACCAAGGCGACGAUCCGUAACUGGUCUGAGAGGAUGAUCAGUCACACUGGAACUGAGACACGGUCCAGACUCCUACGGGAGGCAGCAGUGGGGAAUAUUGGACAAUGGGCGAAAGCCUGAUCCAGCCAUGCCGCGUGUGUGAAGAAGGUCUUCGGAUUGUAAAGCACUUUAAGUUGGGAGGAAGGGCAGUAAGUUAAUACCUUGCUGUUUUGACGUUACCGACAGAAUAAGCACCGGCUAACUCUGUGCCAGCCGCCGCCGUAA
rnacentral:rRNA from 1 species